CCUACGGGAGGCAGCAGUGGGGAAUAUUGCACAAUGGGGGAAACCCUGAUGCAGCGACGCCGCGUGAGUGAAGAAGUAUUUCGGUAUGUAAAGCUCUAUCAGCAGGGAAGAAAAUGACGGUACCUGACUAAGAAGCCCCGGCUAACUACGUGCCAGCAGCCGCGGUAAUACGUAGGGGGCAAGCGUUAUCCGGAUUUACUGGGUGUAAAGGGAGCGUAGACGGCCAGACAAGCCAGAUGUGAAAGCCCAGGGCUCAACCCCGGGACUGCUUUUGAAACUGCGGGGCUAGAGUGCAGGAGAGGUAAGCGGAAUUCCUAGUGUAGCGGUGAAAUGCGUAGAUAUUAGGAGGAACACCAGUGGCGAAGGCGGCUUACUGGACUGUAACUGACGUUGAGGCUCGAAAGCGUGGGGAGCAAACAGGAUUAGAUACCCCUGUAGUC
rnacentral:rRNA from 1 species